UACGUAGGGGGCAAGCGUUGUCCGGAUUCAUUGGGCGUAAAGAGCGUGUAGGCGGCCAGGUAGGUCGGUUGUGAAAACUGGAGGCUCAACCUUCAGACGUCGAUCGAAACCAUCUGGCUAGAGUCCGGGAGAGGAGAGUGGAAUUCCUGGUGUAGCGGUGAAAUGCGUAGAUAUCGGGAGGAACACCUGAGGCGAAGGCGGGCUACUGGGCCGAUACUGACGCUGAUGCGCGAAAGCCAGGGGAGCAAACGGGG
rnacentral:rRNA from 1 species